GAUGGUAAUAUUUUUUGAAAUGUAAAUAUGUGUGAAAAAUGUUUUAUAACAAAAACUGUUAUAGAAAAUUAAAUAAGGACCACAGGUUAAUGAGCCUUUACCAAAUUUUUUUUCCAAGUAGAAAAAAAUAGCUAGGUUAGUACUAUGUGAUAUGAAAUUAAUUACGUGAUUUUUAAAAAAGCUACUAAACCAGGUGAAAGAAAACUCUCCAAAUUUCUUGGGU
rnacentral:lncRNA from 1 species